UUUUGUUCUAUUUUAUACAGCAAAAAACCAACAAAAUUCACACUCUGGGAAGAUUUUAUUGAUCAUGAUGGGAACAAACUACUCGAACUGCUUAAAAAAGAAUACCCAAUCAUUUUUGCUAAAAAAGUUGCAAGACCAAAGUCGUCGUCACGUAAAACGCCUCAAAUGCAUGCAAGAUAGAGUAACAAAUUCAAUACAGGAUUGACUAACAGAUUCAGUACAAGAAUCGAAAUCAAUCCUCCAUACCCACAAGCAAAUGCGAUGAGAACAUGGGCCCAACAAAAUGAACAAAUGCUUAUUGCGUACACAAUGAAGAGCACAGGUCCAACAUGCUCUCUUUUAUUUGUUCCUUUCGAAGAAGAGAUAGUACCGAUUGCAGAAAUCCGACAGCAAAAUCCAGGUCAAAUAUUCUACAUACAUGCUGAAGUCGCACUACAAAAUGAGAACCAACGAUUUUGUAUCCUAGCUUGUUCAGACUGCAAACAACACUUCACACGAGCUAUCUCACUAUUGCACUAAUUGCCGUCAAGCUACCCAAUUGGUUCCCAGGUGCCAAUUUGAAGUGACGCUCACAGAUCAGAGCGGUUCUGCAACAGCAACUAUUGUCGACGAGUAUGCAGAAAAAAUAUUACUUCUCACUUCGGAAGAGAUUUAUGAUAUCUGCAAUGUCAAGAAAGGACUGUUGCCUCUUGCGAACGCACAAAAGCUACUGACUGGCAAGAUCUUCAAGAUUCAAAUAAAAAAGCUGUUUACAAGAAAUAAUGAGGCAGGAAAGUUAGUUAUUUUAUCUUUCAUAGAUAAAAGUAAUUCGGUUGUCUCACAAAUGCCGGCCACCAUCAAGGAUGUUGCGGAAGGAAGUAAACAAAAAAUUGAACCCGCUGCCCCAGAGAAGCAAGAGCACCCACACAUAACAAUCAAAGGCAACGGUUCCUACAAAUGUAAGGCGGAAAUGAAUAUUUCCCCUCCGAAAAAUUGCUGAGAGCAUUUUUGCCAGUGAAACAUCUUUUGCUACUAUUUUGGGAUGCAAGUAAAGCCACAACUUGCUGUUGCUUUUGAAUACGGUUAAGCUCACUUUUACGACUGCUUUCUAGAUAUUCCUCUACUCGGAAUAUGUCGCAUCGACACGAGUUCGUGCUCUGUUUUUGGGUUGGUCAAUCCUUCUGGAGCAGCCUGUCUUGGGUACUCAGAGUUACGAUCUUGUAGAACGUACUUAAUUCCAGCUGACAAAUUUUGUACAAAAAGGCUUUCUUAGUUCCUCCAAGUCUGUAGGGGCAAAAACGAACAACUUUGGCUAUAUGCAAAGAGGCCUUCUUAGUCCAUAUUUCACAUCAGAACAUAAACAAUGGAAUCAAAGACAUAAUAUGCUUGGCUAUGUGCUAACCUUUACCUAGCCUACUUGGUUUUGUUAAAGCAAGCUUAACCGAAUUACAUUACUGAUGUUGUUUACAGAGCAUUACAUAUGUUGUCUUUAACUCUUUUU